rnacentral:misc_RNA from 1 species
GUCCAGCAAUUGGUUAUAGCAGAAUUGUGUGAGACCGCCAUGGUUAGGAGACAGUGGUUACGGCCCCUUUGUUCAUCACUUGGUUCACAUUUCUGGGUGGGGAAAAUUCAAAAACCAAGCUCAGUUGAAAGUGCAGGGUGGCGUGGGCUUUUGUUUUUGGCAGUAGAUAGUUAGAAAUUUUGGUGAAUAUUUUUUUUUUUUGUUAGAUAAAUUUUAGUCAAUAAAUUUAGUCUUUAGCUUUCAAUUCUUGGCUCCCAUUUUUCAACAAAACUAACAAGUAAUAACAACACUGUCUUCUUGCAGUAUAAAAUUC